rnacentral:misc_RNA from 1 species
CAACCCUCGAGCCCCCGGGCCCGGUGUUGGGGAUCGACCGCCGCCCUGUCGGUGGUCGGCCCCGAAAUCGAGUGGCGGCCUCGCCGUAGCCUCCUCUGCGUAGUAGCACACACCUCGCACUGGACGGUCGGCGCGGCCACGCCGUGAAACCCCCACUUCUUA